GAUUGUUUAUCUCGGAUCCCUUGUUGACAUCUUGAAAGCAAGAUUGGGACGACACUGGCAUCAUCGAAGAAGAAGAGUGAGUCGAAGAGCUUGUUACAGCUGUUGAGAUAGACUUAGGACAAUGGAAGAAGUUUCGCGAUCCUAGUGCGGAGAGCUUCUCCUUUGAAUCCAAACAUUCCAUGCUGAACUGCGAGUAAUGGAGCCCGAACGCCUCAGGCUCCGUCGAAGCCAGCCGCGGCCGCCUCCCCUCCUUCACGUAAACUCUCACCACCGCCGCGAUCACCUCCUCCACCGUCCACUCCGCCGACGCCAUCACCUGCACCGGACUGAGGCUCCCCUGCACCGUCACGUUCAACCGUACCUUCGCCGGUGCCCUCGGCUCCAACAAGCCCGUGCCGCUCUUACGAGCGCCUGUGCCGGCGAGGAGGUCUGGUUGGGUCUUGGGGCGGCCCAGCUGACGGUGGUCGGAGGGCAGGGCUGCGGUUCUACCGUGGAAGGAGUGGGACCGCUCCGGCCGGGAACGAGUUGCGGCGCCACCCUUCUCAUCUUGGAGUUUCUUGGGGUGGGUGAAGGUGGUGGUGGACGUCAUGGCGGCGGC
rnacentral:misc_RNA from 1 species